rnacentral:lncRNA from 1 species
UACAAAUCAAAUAAUUAAAAACACCCAAAAUAUACAAAUUUUAACAAGCAACUAACUAAGCUUUAGCGACCAAAUCAGAUAGUCACCAUAACCUAUCGGCGACGAACCAAUCUAUUUGGUCGGCCAAUCCAUCCUCAGUUCGUGGCAAAUUUUGGUAUUUUUGCGGGAGCCCAUCUUUAUAGGCGACAAACUGAUUAAUUAAAUGCGACGAAAUAAAUUGGUCGCCUAAAGGAUUUAUUUUCGUCGCCUUUAGUAGUUUGGUACUUUCAGCCACGAGCCUUAAGCAACCAAGUUGGCGACGAAUUCAUUUCGUCGCUAAAGGAUUUUGGCCACGAAAUAACAGCUUUUAGCGACCAAACGUGGUGAUCGCCAAAAGGAGUUUUCCUUGUAGUGUAUAAAUUUUGCUUACUUGAAGUUGUAGUUGAAAAAAGGGCAGCAGACGACGGCACGAGGUGGUGGUGGUCAGUACCGACGAAGAGUUGUGAUGGAGAUUGUUGGAGGUUGGGAGGUUACGGUUUGAGAUGGUGGGGAAGAGAUGUGAAAUUGGGAAUGGAAAGGGUUUGGAGCUUCUGUGCAGAGUUGGGUAAGUGCCGAUGUUUUUUAUUUUUAUUUAUUUUUAAUAAUUAUAAAACCUGGCCCAAAACAACGUCGUUUUGAGGCCAGGUCAAUAAAAAAAAAAUUUGACUGAGCCUUGGACCAAACGACGUCGUUUGGCAGGACUCGUUUUGGAAAAAAAAAGAAAAAAAAAAGAUGCACAGCACGCGCGCAGCUGUCUGUGCAGCAGCAAGGAGGCCGUUUAUAUCAAGAAUGAGAAGCUUUUUCUUAGAGCAGCUAAGAAGAGAUCUUUCAG